rnacentral:rRNA from 1 species
GACGAACGCUGGCGGCGUGCCUAAUACAUGCAAGUCGAACGAGAGCAACCGGUGCUUGCCCUGGUCAAUCUAGUGGCGAACGGGUGAGUAACACGUGGGUAACCUGCCCAUCAGAGGGGGAUAACAUCCGGAAACGGAUGCUAAAACCGCAUAGGUCUUCGAACCGCAUGGUUUGAAGAGGAAAAGAGGCGCAAGCUUCUGCUGAUGGAUGGACCCCCGGUGCAUUAGCUAGUUGGUGAGGUAACGGCUCACCAAGGCCGUGAUGCAUAGCCGACCUGAGAGGGUGAUCGGCCACAUUGGGACUGAGACACGGCCCAAACUCCUACGGGAGGCAGCAGUAGGGAAUCUUCCGCAAUGGACGCAAGUCUGACGGAGCAACGCCGCGUGAGUGAAGAAGGUUUUCGGAUCGUAAAACUCUGUUGUUAGAGAAGAACAAGUGCUAGAGUAACUGUUAGCGCCUUGACGGUAUCUAACCAGAAAGCCACGGCUAACUACGUG